rnacentral:rRNA from 1 species
UACGAACUGUGCAAACGUUAUUCGGAAUCACUGGGCUUACAGGGUGCGUAGGCGGCUUGCUAAGUAGGGUGUGAAAGCCCCCGGCUUAACCGGGGAAUGGCGCCCUAAACUGGCGAGCUGGAGUGAGAUAGGGGUGUGCGGAACUUCCGGUGGAGCGGUGAAAUGUGUUGAUAUCGGAAGGAACGCCGGUGGCGAAAGCGGCACACUGGAUCUCAACUGACGCUGAGGCACGAAAGCCAGAGGAGCGAACGGG